CACGUAGGGGACGAGCGUUGUCCGGAAUCAUUGGGCGUAAAGCGUGCGUAGGCGGCCCGGAAAGUCGGAUGUGAAAUCCCGGGGCUCAACCCCGGGCCUGCAUCCGAUACUCCCGGGCUGGAGGCAGGUAGGGGAGAUCGGAAUUCCUGGUGUAGCGGUGAAAUGCGCAGAUAUCAGGAGGAACACCGGUGGCGAAGGCGGAUCUCUGGGCCUUGCCUGACGCUGAGGCGCGAAAGCUAGGGGAGCGAACAGG
rnacentral:rRNA from 1 species